AGUCGAACUCUGUUUGUUUUUGGUUUCGAUAGGAAAUCGGCUAUUUUUGUACAUCUCUAAAAGCGACUACAUAGAUGAAGUCUCCUAAUCAUUACACUUCUCAGAUUUUAAUAGUAUUACAGUUGAAUAUUACAGCAUAAAGGAUUGCUCAGUAAACUGCUUCCUGGUAAUAUAUAUACUGUAUGUUUGAAAAGUAAAUUUUCAAGCUAUGAGUGAUAACGAAAAAAAUGCGUCUACCGAGGACGACACGGAAGAAAGCUUUUCUCAGCUGCCUUUGAUUAAAACUCGUGUCCGGAAGAGCCUAAAUGAGCUUCGACAUCCCAGGCAAAAGUUUUGUGCUCGUUGGGAAAGAGAUUUCCCAUGGCUUAAGGCGGAUAAAGUAGAUGAAUCUGUUGGUAUAUGUACCGUGUGUAACAAGCACCUGGUGUGUAAAAAAAGUCAUUUGGAGCGCCAUCAGAAAUCAUAUAAACAUCAGAGACUUCAGAACUACGAAUCCUUCGAUGCAGAAUGCGAACCAUCGCAAACAAAUGAACCUGAAUUUAUGGAGUGCGGAAAGCGGGAAUUCGGGCAAGCUGAGCAGGAAUUUGGUCAGGCGAUUGAAUUAGAUCCAGACUACAAUGUAGAUCGAGAUCCUGAUAGAAAAUUUAAGAGGAAUUCUGCAAGUAAACUAAAGCCGCAAGAGCAACAAUCAACCACGAAUUGUUCUAUUUUAGCUGAAGGCAUCACAAAUAAGAGUUUCAAGUUAGACCGUUUCAAAUUGCUCAAGCGUGUCGAUCGCGACCGUAAUGCUCUCAAUGAGUAUUACCUAAUUCGCAAAAGGCAGCAUUCGCCACUAAUUCAACCAUGCAGGGAUACAUUCGACUUAUUUUUUGAUAGCGUCUGUGCAACUGUGAAGUCACUACCACCGAAAUUAGGUGCUGAGGUGAAGGGCCGAAUUUCUCAGUUGAUAGCCGAAUUUGAGUUGCGUGCGAUAUGUGAACGAGAAGCUCAAGAAGCCACUUCAUUACCUUCAACAACAUCUGAAAAUUCUACAAUGGUAGUUGGUGCAACUACUACUCUUCAACAAGAAACCACACCAUCGGUAACACAGGAGUCAGCGGUUAUAGAUCCGACUACUGGAGUUCCACAUAUCGUUUACACAUUCCAGCCUAAAGGAGAAUGAUUUCAAAGUUAAGAUACUAGCAUGAAAAUUGUGGGAGAGAGAGUAAAUGUCCACCUAAUUUAUUUUCUCUAUCGAAAGUAAAUUUUAGUCAUAAUCCCAUUUCACAGCCAGAAUAAACAGAAUACGUUUGAAAUAUACGUUAACAUAUCAUCAGGAACGUUCUAAAGAAUAAGUAAACAAAACGUUCCACACGUUCAGAAUGAAUUAAUAAAUACAGCCUUAGUAAAGCUUAAA
rnacentral:misc_RNA from 1 species